UUUACUGUAAAUGGAGAAAAAUGUUGAGUUUUGGACCAUUAUCAACACAUGCUUCACGAGUCAUGAUUUUUAUAUUCUAAAAAUAUAUUGAGUUGCUUUACACUGAACUGAUCAAUUGUUUUUUUCAGGACAUCUAUCACCGCACCAAGAGACAAAAAAAUGAUAUACCAUGGAAAAGGUUUUCUGGAGGUCUGAGCAUGGUAGCAAGAGUUGAAGUUACAACGCAGGCCCAGCUGACUGACAAGAUGGAUACAGAAUGAAAAAGUUAAAGCAUUAUAUGCACUCAAGGCUCCUUCCCAGGUAACAUGUUGCAACGAAAAAAAGGAAUAUAUCACCAUGUUUCAUAAAGAGUGUUUCAGGCUCAUGUUAUGCUUAUGAUAAUCAUUUAUAUUUCUAUAGCUUUUCUUCUCCAAGUAUAUUUUGGCUAAGUAAUAAUCUGGAAAAUAAAAUGUAUUUACUCAAUUCUCCCCCGUGUGUAAUUCUUAUUCGCAUCACUAGGGGGCAAUAUUUACCCAAGAGAUAAGCACUCAAACCAGCUUGGCUUCUGUUAAGAAGAAAUGUUUGAGAUCUGUUUAUCUUCAUCUCUUAAUUACAAUAAAGCAUUUGUGUUAAAAA